rnacentral:rRNA from 1 species
GACGAACGCUGGCGGCAUGCCUAACACAUGCAAGUCGAACGAGACCUUCGGGUCUAUUGGCGCACGGCUGCGUACCGCGUGGGAACCUGCCCUUGGGUUCCGUAUAACUCCCCGAAGGGGAUGCUAAUACCGGAUAAUGUCUUCGCACCAAAGAUUUAUGGCCUUUGGAUGGGCCCGCGUUAGAUUCGCUAGUUGGUAGGGGAAUAGCAUACCAUGGAGACGAUGCAUAGCUGGUCUGAGAGGAAGACCAGCUACAAUGGGACUGAGACACGGCCCAGACUGCUACGGGAGGGAGCAGUGGGGAAUAUUGGAGACUGGGGGAAAGCCUGAUCCAGCAAUGCGGCGUGAGUGAGGAAGGCGGUAGGGUUGUAAAGCUCUUUUACCCGGGAUGAGAGUGACAGUACCGGGAGAAUAAGCUCCGGCUAACUCCGUG